AGUGAACGCUGGCGGUAGGCCUAACACAUGCAAGUCGAACGGCAGCACAGUAAGAGCUUGCUCUUACGGGUGGCGAGUGGCGGACGGGUGAGGAAUACAUCGGAAUCUACUUUUUCGUGGGGGAUAACGUAGGGAAACUUACGCUAAUACCGCAUACGACCUACGGGUGAAAGCAGGGGAUCUUCGGACCUUGCGCGAUUGAAUGAGCCGAUGUCGGAUUAGCUAGUUGGCGGGGUAAAGGCCCACCAAGGCGACGAUCCGUAGCUGGUCUGAGAGGAUGAUCAGCCACAUUGGAACUGAGACACGGUCCAGACUCCUACGGGAGGCAGCAGUGUGGAAUAUGGGACAAUGGGCGCAAGCCUGAUCCAGCCAUACCGCGUGGGUGAAGAAGGCCUUCGGGUUGUAAAGCCCUUUUGUUGGGAAAGAAAAGCAGCAGGCUAAUACCAAGCUGUUCUGACGGUACCCAAAGAAUAAGCACCGGCUAACUUCGUG
rnacentral:rRNA from 1 species